CCAAACCCAACUCUCUCUCAGCCCCUCUCUGCACACAGCAACAAGCUGUGUGCUCCGGUAAUCUUCCAAGGAUUACAUCUUGCCUCUUCCACUCUAUGCUCUCUCAAAUGGAGCCUUUAAAUAGGGGAUUGGAGCCUCCAUUGUUGACAAUCACCAGCCGCAUCCUUCUCUCUCUGCCAUUCUUUUCCUUCCUCAGCCUCUAUUAGAGACUCUCUGUCUCUGACCAAUCUUACCAAAUGGAGGCUUCAUCUAGAAGAAGGAUGGAAUGAAGACUUUGGCAUUUGGCAUGGGCUUGGGCUUGGGCCCAAUAGUGUUGGACUUCUUCUUGG
rnacentral:lncRNA from 1 species